GUGAGGAAUAUUGGUCAAUGGGCGCAAGCCUGAACCAGCAACGCCGCGUGAGUGAAGAAGGUCUUCGGAUUGUAAAACUCUUUUGUGAGGGACGAGCAAGGACGGUACCUCACGAAUAAGCCUCGGCUAACUACGUGCCAGCAGCCGCGGUAAAACGUAGGAGGCGAGCGUUAUCCGGAUUUACUGGGCGUAAAGGGCGUCUAGGUGGUUGGGUAAGAUGGCUGUGAAAGCUCCUGGCUCAACUGGGAGAGGCCAGUCAAGACUGCCUGACUUGAGUGUCGGAGAGGGGUGCGGAAUUCCCGGUGUAGCGGUGGAAUGCUUAGAGAUCGGGAGGAACACCAGUGGCGCAAGCGGCACCCUGGCCGACUACUGACACUGAAGCGCGAGAGCGUGGGGAGCAAACAGGAUUAGAUACCCUAGUAGUCC
rnacentral:rRNA from 1 species